ACACGCAUGACACACUGCAUAUCAAUAAGCGGAGGAAAAGAAACUAACAAGGAUUCCCCUAGUAACGGCGAGUGAAGCGGGAGGAGCUCAAAUUUGAAAUCUUAAAGGGUUUCCCUUUACGAAUUGUAGUUUAAAGAAGUGUUUUCUGUUGGAGUUUCGGUAAAAGUUCUUUGGAAUAGGACAUCAUAGAGGGUGAGAAUCCCGUAUUUGACCGUUACUUUCCAGCUGUGUGAUACACUUUCAAAGAGUCGGAUUGUUUGGGAAUGCAGUCCAAAAUGGGUGGUAAAUUUCAUCUAAAGCUAAAUAUCGGCGAGAGACCGAUAGCGAACAAGUACCGUGAGGGAAAGAUGAAAAGAACUUUGAAAAGAGAGUUAAACAGUACGUGAAAUUGUCAAAAGGGAAGCGUUUGACACCAGUGUUGUUUAGUUGAAAAUCAAUUCAAUAAUUUUUGAUUUUGAGUAGUAUUGACUUCAUCAGCUUGCUGCUUUCUUUUCGGAAAUUAUUGAAUGCACUUUUCAGUUAACAAGUCAACAUCAAUUUCUUUUGUUGUAAAAGGGUAAGAGGAAGGUGGCUUACGCUUCGGCGUAAGUGUUUAUAGCCUUUUACCUCUGCAAUCGGAGAGAUUGAGGACAGCAGCGUAGACUCUUCGGGGUUAGAUACACUUGUGCUAAGCUAUAGCCCUGUAUAGACAACUUGUUGACUAUGCUCAGUCAUGUAGCUUACUCGCAUGUGCUAUUUUACCUACGCUUAGGAUGUUGACUGAUAUGUAGUCGUA
rnacentral:rRNA from 1 species